UGGGGAAUUUUGGACAAUGGGGGAAACCCUGAUCCAGCCAUCCCGCGUGUGCGAUGAAGGCCUUCGGGUUGUAAAGCACUUUUGGCAGGAAAGAAACGUCAUGGGUUAAUACCCCGUGAAACUGACGGUACCUGCAGAAUAAGCACCGGCUAACUACGUGCCAGCAGCCGCGGUAAUACGUAGGGUGCAAGCGUUAAUCGGAAUUACUGGGCGUAAAGCGUGCGCAGGCGGUUCGGAAAGAAAGAUGUGAAAUCCCAGAGCUCAACUUUGGAACUGCAUUUUUAACUACCGGGCUUGAGUGUGUCAGAGGGAGGUAGAAUUCCGCGUGUAGCAGUGAAAUGCGUAGAUAUGCGGAGGAACACCGAUGGCGAAGGCAGCCUCCUGGAAUAACACUGACGCUCAUGCACGAAAGCGUGGGGAGCAAACAGG
rnacentral:rRNA from 1 species